rnacentral:lncRNA from 1 species
GGAAGAGAAGUCUGUAGAUGCCUUGGUGCUUAGAGCUCCUGGAGAACUUGGUGAAUUCAGCUUCUUUGAAAUUGCUUUGACCCCAGAUUGUAAUAUCUAGGUGAGUAUUUCUGGAUGUUUCUGCCUCUGGUUUUAUUUCAUAAAGGAUCGUGACCAUCUCCUGUCUUCUCCUUGAUAUAAUUUGUACUCAUGGCAAGGCCAGGAGGCAGAAUCUGCUUUUCAUGGGAGAAGGCAUUCUUAUUUCUUAGUGCCUAAAGAGAGGCUUUACUUCUGAGUGCCUAAACAGGCAUUCUCCUCCACCUCUCUGAUGUUGAGUUAGUCCUUAGGUUAACAAAGGAAGACUGUUUCAAGCAUUUAUCCUGAUCUAUGGAGCGUAUUCUAGUGGAAAAUGUAAAGCAAGUUUAGCUCUUUAUUGAAUGUCCAGCAGGCCUUGGAGGUUUAUCUGCAGCAGAAGCACCUGCUUUCUUCAGGGGUGUUGCUUCACUUUGUUUUUACUCUGUUGAACUUAGAAGUUUGUUCAGUGUGUUUUAAGGAAGGCCAAAACAGUGUCUGUUGGCUUCAGUGGUCUUAACUUACACAGUGUUUCUUCAGCUUUGUACAAUGCCAGAUGUAACUACCUAAGCAUAAAGACCCAUUGAGCAAACAGCUGUCAGCUGCACAGCUGGGGAAGACUUGAGCACUGUAUUUUCUUCCCCCUCCAACCUUUACUCAACCACUGUCACUUCAGAUGCCCUGUCCACGUCCGAAGUGCUGCUGCAGCCUUGCAUUCUUCCUGAAACAUACUUCAGAAAUAACAGCUUGCUAUACUUAAUGAGUCAGUAUGGCCUCUGAUACGUCAGCGUGUAUGGCAGAGGGGUGUCCUGUUAGAUACUAUUUGGUGAAGGAGAGGUGAGCUGCAUCAAGUUUGCAUUUGUUUGCUGUACGUGAACUUCUCCUGCCCACAGGAUCUGGAGAGGAAACAGACAAACAUUUCUUGCGUGCACUUUCGGGUUGGUUGGUUGUUGUCAUCAGAAGUUCUGACAUCCAUCCCUUGUGUACUGUUUGCGUUUCCCUUCAGUUCCCCCAUGCUCAGGUAGCUGUAUUUCUGCCGCUGGCAUUUUAAAUUCAAGGCAAAGGGUGAGAGCCAUUUCCAGUCCGGUAUUGCUUUGUCCCAUUUCUUAGACAAUCACUGCAGACUCGCAGGGUUUAGGAUUACGAUAUCAGGUGCUCUUGAAGCGGUGCUGACUGUGCAGGGAGCGAGCGCUGCUGUGCCGCUAGAGGUCCCCCCAUUCCUCCGGGCUGGGUGCAGUUGGAUCCUCAUCAGCCUUCGCAGGACGACGCUGCUUUUUCUGCCAAGAUGAAGGAAUCAGGCAAGAUCUGGGUGGUGCCUGAUCACACACAAGGUUUGAGCGCUCUCUGAAGUUCGAUUGUAUGGCUAAUUUAGCGCUCAGUGUAGGCUCUAAAUGCCAGCAUCUGCGUUAGUUGUUUAUGCAGUGGUCUAUCAGUUCACAAGUGUGCUUUGCAAUUAGGAAGAGUUGCUAAGUAAAUAAUUACGUGCUCCUGAACUUGGCAUCUUCUCAGGGCGGUUACAACAUACUUGGGCUGGCAAAUCCCGGAAUGCUGCAAAACAGAGGGCCGUGGGCAGCUGCGACUGCUGCCUUAACGCUUCCAGUGCUGUUACUACGAGUUGUUUUGGUCUACCCGGGAGCCACGAAGCAAAAACAUGGACAGAUAUUUUGCAGCUUACACGCUGUUUGUACACAUGUAAGUGCAAGAAAAGCCAUUUGUAUGUUUGUUUGUUUUUUAUUGCAUCUUCUGAGAAGCACAGUUCAGGAGGUUGUCCGAGGUGUGAAGCUGUGUGAUGUGAGUAUGCAGCCUGCUGGGGGCUGGGACAUCUUUGUCCAGAGGCAGACACGGUGCUUGGGAGCCCAUCCCAAAGAGGUGAGCAGAACCUGCGGCAGCACACUGCCAUCCUAUGCUCCUGCAGCCGCUUGGGGCUUCGUGGGCCGUAAGGGGAAUGCCAUCCGCUCGUGGUCUUGCUCAGACAGUGUCUUUUGGGUGGGACAGGUGUGACUGGGAGAGAGCUUGGAUGAGCCCGGUGCCCUGGGCUUUCGUUCCUUGUCCUCCCUCUGCCAUCUCCAUGGGAUGACGUGAGGAGCCAGGCGCCCCUUCCCAGCCGCUAUUUUCGGCAGGCAUUUACUUUCCCAGCCUCUGCUGGCCGCCUGCCCGGAGGUGGGGAG